rnacentral:rRNA from 1 species
UCUGCUAAAGGUUUACUAAAGUAUAGAGGGUGAAUUCUGCCCAAUGGUUGUAUAGUGAAACUGAGGACUAACGUCUAAAGCGAAACCCAGCUGAAUGGCCGCGGUAACUCUGACCGUGAUAAUGUAGCACAAUAAAUAGCCAAUUAAUUGUUGGCGGGUAUGAAUGGAACCACGAGGGUCUUACUGUCUCAAGAGGAAAGCCGAUGAAAUUAUAAUUGUAGUGAAGAUACUACACAAACAUUGUAAGACGAAAAGACCCUGUCGAGCUUUACUGGAUACCAAUAGCGUUAAUUUAGAAUGAUCGGUACUAAGUAUUCUAAUUUUAAGUUAAUAAUUUUUGUUGGCAGGACAGUUUAGUUGGGGCGACUACCUUUGAAUAAGAAACGAAGGCGAGCUUAUGGUAUUAUUAAAAUCUCAUUAGCCUGACAGUGAGGGGGACACCCCUAGCUGGCACAAGGACCUACUCGUAUAGUAUAUUAUAUAUACGUAAUGGCUCCUAUGUGGGCGAUAAUGACCCGAUAUAAUUUUCCUCAAUAAAUAUCGAAAGCGGAUAAAAGCUACCGCAGGGAUAACAGCGUAAUAUUGUCGGAGAGUUCCUAUCGAGGACAGUGUUUGCGACCUCGAUGUUGAAUUGCGGUGCCCUGGUGCUGCAGAAGGUACCUUAGG